rnacentral:rRNA from 1 species
UACGGGGGGAGCAAGCGUUGUUCGGAUUUACUGGGCGUAAAGGGUGCGUAGGCGGUCAGCACAAGUCAGUUGUGAAAUCUCCGGGGCUUAACUCGGAAAGGUCAACUGAUACUGUGCGACUAGAGUGCAGAAGGGGCAACUGGAAUUCUCGGUGUAGCGGUGAAAUGCGUAGAUAUCGAGAGGAACACCUGCGGCGAAGGCGGGUUGCUGGGCUGACACGUGACGCUGGAUGCGCGAAAGCCAGGGGAGCGAACGGG